CCGUACAUAUCACCGCGGUCGGACACACGCACAAUUAUCUGUAUUAUAGUUUAUUUAUUUUUGUUAUUGUGUGUGAAUUAUUUAAAUUAAUUAAAUCCCAACGCCUUAUCGGUUAUCGGCGCGUUAUCUGCGUCGCCAGCUCGUGUGCGCGUAUUUUAACACGGCCGCCGCAACUUUGUCUUUGAGCGUACGUCUGAGUGACCGCGUGUAUGUCGAAAUUAUUGUAUUUUUAUUAUAUUCGUUCUCCUUUUAUGUUUUUGUAUCAAUUUUUAUUGUCAUUUUUUAUUGUAUAGCUUAGGAAGACCAGCUGGUCAGUCUACGCUUCACAAACCCUAUUUACUGGAACACUAUGAAAGAAAAUGCAAAUGCUAGCCCUAGGCACGAGAAACGCGCAUAUUGAUCGUCGCGCGAAAACAAAACUUGCCACACGCUGUUUUACGGUUUUCAGAAAUAUUUUUACGGUUACGUAUACGUCGUAAACAAUAAUGUUAUGGUGUACGUGAAUAUUUGCAUAGGCCAACGGCAGACGGGCGUCAAAAGUAUUUGAUGCGAGUGAUUGUUAUGGCUCUGAACCCGGUGGUCAUACUUGAGGCCAACGAGUUCACGGUAUUAUUGAACAACGGCAAAGACCAUAUUUACGCAUGCAUUAUGCGCAUGCGAUGGCGAUUGACAAAGGCGCCGGUACGGAAACUUUGACCGAGCUCGUGGGAUUUGCCGACAGUCUAACGCUUUGCGGACAACGUCAAGAACUAACGCGUCGCGUGACGCGCAUAUGCGUUUAUCUGAGCAAUUUCAGCAUCACCAAUAUUUGGGUUCUAGCCGUGCCGUUGGGUGGGUACGUGCAGUUAUUGAUUAGUCGAUGAUAUGAAUGAAUCCGCAUGGUCGACGACGAUCACCACCGGACCCCGCGGGACUCGCGCGAACAAGCGCUACGAAACUUAUUUGUACUUACGACGAUGUACCGAACCUAGACCACAGCGUGGGGUCACAAACACUUGUUCUGUCAUCGUCGUCCAACGCACUCGAACAUGGUUUAUCGUUUCGGCGAUUCACGCGCAACAGGCUCACGGGCAUUGAGUAAAAUGCGAGUCGAGUUCGAACGCGUAGUCGGCGCGCCGCGAUCCACAGCGGGAAACCUGUUGCUCGAAGAUGACAACGCGGAAGUGCCGUGAACGGUUUCGCGGGUGCAAUAAUAACAAUAAUGAGUUUUUACUAGACCGCGGGCGCGACGGACUGGCGGGUACGGCAAGGACGCGUGGACCUGGUCGCCCCGUGAACGGGGGGGGGGGGGGGGGGACUCGCUUGCGCACAUAUUAUUAUAUUUUUUUUUUUUAAAUUUACUGCAACUCGUUUGCGCACAACAUUGUAAACGAUGAAAACCAGCUUUUAGGUACAAUUUUGGAUGUCUAAAAAUAAAUCUAACACUCUAAAAGCAUAACGCUUGUUUUCAAUCGUAGUUUCCCAACAGGUUAGGACGAAGUUGGUUCGGGUAGUUGCAAAAAAAAUUUAAGUUAUUCGAGUAUUAAUAGAAAU